rnacentral:rRNA from 1 species
GUGCCAGCCGCCGCGGUAAUACGGAGGGUGCAAGCGUUGUCCGGAAUCAUUGGGUGUAAAGGGUGCGUAGGCGGGAGCCUAAGUCUGUGGUGAAAUCUUGCCGCUUAACGGUAAAAUUGCCAUGGAUACUGGGUUUCUUGAGUACAGAAGAGGUUGGUGGAAUUCGUAGUGUAGCGGUGAAAUGCAUAGAUAUUACGAAGAACACCAGUGGCGAAGGCGUCCGGCUGGACUGUAACUGACGCUGAGGCACGAAAGCGUGGGGAGCGAACAGGAUUAGAAACCCUGGUAGUCC